rnacentral:sRNA from 1 species
GCUGGGUGUGAUGGUGCACACCUGUAAUCCUAGCAACUUGGGAGGCUGAGACAGGAGGAUCACAAAGCAAGACUGGCCUCAGUAACUUAGCAAGACCUUGUCUCAA